CCUACGGGUGGCAGCAGUGAGGAAUAUUGGUCAAUGGGCGCGAGCCUGAACCAUCCAAUUAGCGUGAAGGAUGACUUCCCUACGGGUUGUAACCUUCUUUUAUAAAGAAAUAAAGUGAGGCACGUGUGCCUUUUUGUAUGUACUUUAUGAUUAAGGAUCGGCUAACUCCGUGCCAGCAGCCGCGGUAAUACGGAGGAUCCGAUCGUUAUCAGGAUUUAUUGGGUUUAAAGGGAGCGUAGAUGGGUUGUUAAGUCAGUUGUGAAAGUUUGCGGCUCAACCGUAAAAUUGCAAUUGAGACUGGCAGCGUUGAGUACAGUGGAGGUAGGCGGAAUUCGUGGUGUAGCGGUGAAAUGCUUAGAUAUCACGAAGAACUCCGAUUGCGAAGGCAGCCUACUAAACUGCCACUGACAUUGAUGCUCGAAAGUGUGGGUAUCAAACAGGAUUAGAGACCCCGGUAGUC
rnacentral:rRNA from 1 species